GACACCUUGGCCGAGUUGGUUAUGGCGGUAGACUAGAAAUCUACUUCCUUCGGGAGCACAGGUUCGAGUCCUGUAGGUGUCG